rnacentral:rRNA from 1 species
UAAUACGGAGGGUGCAAGCGUUAAUCGGAAUUACUGGGCGUAAAGCGCACGCAGGCGGUUUGUUAAGUCAGAUGUGAAAUCCCCGGGCUCAACCUGGGAACUGCAUUUGAAACUGGCAAGCUAGAGUCUCGUAGGAGGGGGGUAGAAUUCCAGGUGUAGCGGUGAAAUGCGUAGAGAUCUGGAGGAAUACCGGUGGCGAAGGCCGGCCCCCUGGACGAAGACUGACGCUCAGGUGCGAAAGCGUGGGGAGCAAACAGGAUUAGAUACCCUGGUAGUCCACGCUGUAAACGAUGUCGAUUUGGAGGUUGUGCCCUUGAGGCGUGGCUUCCGGAGCUAACGCGUUAAAUCGACCGCCGUGGGGAGUACGGCCGCAAGGUU